rnacentral:rRNA from 1 species
CGCCUCCUGAUAAACAUAGGAGGUCCAGCCUGCCCAGUGACAACGUUCAACGGCCGCGGUACCCUAACCGUGCGAAGGUAGCAUAAUCACUUGUUCUUUAAAUGGGGACUCGUAUCAAAGGCACCACGAGGACUAUACUGUCUCCCCUCUCCAAUCAGUGAAACUGAUCCCCCCGUGAAGAAGCGGGGAUUCAACUAUAAGACGAGAAGACCCCAUGGAGCUUUAGACUUAAUAUACACCCUUGCACAACAUAACAGUAAAGCUAUUAAGAUAUGUAUAUUGUCUUCGGUUGGGGGGACCGCGGAGUAAAACUUAACCUCCACGACAAACGGGUUAACACCCUUAUCCAAGAAACACAUUUCUAAGAGUCAAUAAAUUGUUGUUUAUGACCCAUUUUAUGAUUAACGAACCAAGUUACCCUGGGGAUAACAGCGCAAUCUACUUCAAGAGCCCCUAUCGACAAGUAGGUUUACGACCUCGAUGUUGGAUCAGGGAAUCCCAGUGGCGCAACCGCUACUAAUGGCUCGUUUGUUCAACGAUUAAAACCCU